CCUACGGGAGGCUGCAGUGGGGAAUAUUGCACAAUGGGGGAAACCCUGAUGCAGCGACGCCGCGUGAGUGAAGAAGUAAUUCGUUAUGUAAAUCUCUAUCAGCAGGGAAGAAAAUGACGGUACCUUAGUACGACGCCCCGGCUAAAUACGUGCCAGCAGCCGCGGUCAUACGUAGGGGUCAAGCGUUAUCCGGCUUUACUGGGUGUAACGGGAGCGGAGACGGCAGUGCAAGUCUGGAGUGAAAGGCGGGGGCUCAACCCCCGGACUGCUCUGGAAACUGUACGGCUGGAGUGCAGGAGAGGUAAGUGGAAUUCCUAGUGUAGCGGUGAAAUGCGUAGAUAUUAGGAGGAACACCAGUGGCGAAGGCGGCUUACUGGACUGUAACUGACGUUGAGGCUCGAAAGCGUGGGGAGCAAACAGGAUUAGAUACCCUUGUAGUC
rnacentral:rRNA from 1 species